AACUCCAUAGCACCCCACGAAGGGAAAAGGACCCUAGGAAGGGCCCCACCAGUGGCUCCCUGGGAAGAGAGGACAGUAGGUUAGGGCAGGUAACCUCCCCAGCAACCUUCACCUUAGCCUGAGAUUUCACCUGCCACCCCAGAGCCUCUGGCAACACCGUCCUGGCCCCAAAACGCCCGCUGAAACUACUACCCUUCUUUCUCCUAGGUCACACCCAGUGAUCUCUUAGCCCCGCCCCUUCGGCUCAACCUUAGAAGCAGGCCCCGCCCCCACUCGUAAAACCACGCCCCGGAAGUCCCGCCCCUAACCAGCCUACGCUUCCUCGAUGCCCACCCAGUGGCUUCCAGCAGCUUCCCCAACUAGGAGUCUCUUUUGCUUCCAGGCCUUCCCGGGAGAGACCUCCUGAUUGGCUGAGCUUCAUCUACCUGCGACGGUAGGAGGGCGGGGAGCGGCUCUAUGGAGAUAAGCGCAAAGUCCUCUGGCUUGGGCUCGAGGCCCGCGGUUCUGCAAGGCUCGAUGUCCAACAUGGAACGUUUACUCAGGACCCUGAGACCAAGGAUCAUACGCUCCACCGACUAAGCUACAAGAACAUGGUAGCAUGGUUUUGGUUUUUGUUUUCGGGGGGUUUUCUUUUUUUUUACUUUUUCCCUCCCUUUGAGUAAAUCUUUUGAGGGUACCCCGGUAACCAGCAGAAGAAGGGGUAUUAAUUGGGAGUUAUCGAUACCUGUCUCUUCUCUGACCAGGGCAAUGUGUUGACAGGGUUUCCAUAGGGGUAACUCAGUGCCCUUCACCCCUUUUCACCUCUUCACCCACCACACUAAGUAUUUUCACAUUGUUCUGCAGACAAGCCCUCCAAUGAGACCUAACCAGAAAUUAAGGACAUUAAUCAACCUUUCAUCCUUGUACUUGAGCCCUGUGGGCCAUAUUGACCUUGGCUUGAGACCCAUCUUUUCAAGAUACCCUCCAAGCCACACUAUAUUGCACAGAAAUUAAAAUUAAUGUAAGCAACAUAUCAUUUUUGGGGGCACCUAGGUGGCUCAGUGGGUUAAGCCUCUGC